AGUUAAUGAGCUUGAAUAAGCAUAUGUUUUGAAAACAUAAGAUAAAAAUAAUAAAUUUUUAUUGACUU
rnacentral:tRNA from 1 species